CUCCAAAAGGGCUGGAGGGAGCGUGGCUGGGGUCCAGCGCUGAGAUUUGAGCUCCAGGCAAGGGUGGAGGUCAGGAGGGAGACAGCCUGUGUGGAGCUGGGGAGGAGUAGAAAAGGAGCAAAAGGGAUGGGGAGAGAUAUUUACACCCCCUCGAGCUAUUUGCAGUAGGGCUGCUGCCAGUCUGGAGCUGUUGGUAUUUGCAAUGGCACGUCUCUCCUCUCUCUAAGGUAUGUUAUUGAGCAUCCCGCUAAGAAACUCCUUGGAAACAUCAAGGGAAGACAAAUCCUCUUGGUUGACGAAUUAAUUUUCUCCCUUUGCUUGACCCUUCAGCCUGUGCUGCCAGCAACGUUCCCAUUAGCUUCGGUGGAGUUUGCCAACAUCUGCUGAGAUCCAAGACCCACAGAAAUCCACUGGAGCCUUUCCAUGGAUCUCAAGGAGCUUUGGGUCAAGUCUCCUGCCUGCGGAAUGAGGCGCGGGGUAUGCGCGUUGGCUGCCUGCUCGGAGCCUGCCGGCUCCCAGGGAGGGAAGCAGAGCUUGCAGGCUGCGAUGUCUAUGAAAACCCAGGGCUCUUACUUCAUUGUGUUAAAGCAUCACGGUCCUUGAAGAUGUUACCCACCUCCAAAGAUCAACCCACUGCAACAGACCUCCCACCGCUGCUUUCCUGCAAACACUAUGGUUCUGCUGGGAAAGGGCUGCGGCAAACACCAGGGCAAAUCACGGCCAAAGAGAGUGAAAUAUCUCCGAACCGACAGUUUUGAGCGCUCCUUGUGAGCUAAACAUGGGUUUUAUCAGCGUAUGAGAGCUUGCAAAGAUAACACUUCAAAGAAAACACGUUCUAAAUACACUUUUAAAAGCCUUAAAAUGUAAUUCCAUAAAUGUUUGUGUUACUCGGGCAAGAGAUAAAGCCAAGUGGUAUUACUGAAUUGUAGUGGGGCCGAAUACCUGCAAACUUCCCUCGUGUCCCUAUCAGAUGAAUGGCUCACUUAUUAAUCUAUAUCUGGAUACAGAAGAGCCCUUUCCUUUCUCAAUAAUCUUUACCCUCCAUCUCUGUGUUCUGGCUGCUUUGCUGCUCCAGCAAACAUAACAAAGCAUCAUGCUGACACCUUUGGAAAUGUUGAGCCCUGGCAAGCACCAACCUAUUUUAGGCAGUGGGUCUGCCCACGCUGGCACACGUGCAGCCCUCCAACAGUUUGGGCUGGCAGCAGGAUUUGGCCAUUAGUGGAAGAUUUUGUGCCUAUUCACCCAAUCUGUCCUUGGCUUGAAAGCCAAUCGUGUCC
rnacentral:lncRNA from 14 species